AUUGAACGCUGGCGGCAGGCCUAACACAUGCCAGUCUAGCGAGCGGAGGACGGGUGAGUCAUGUCUGGGAAACUGCCUGAUGGAGAGGGAUAACUACUGGAAACGGUCGCUAAUACCGCAUACCAUCAGAUUUGCCCAGAUGGGAGUAGCUAGUAGGUGGGGUAACGGCUCACCUAGGCGACGAUCCCGAGCUGGUCUGAGAGGAUGACCAGCCACACUGGGACUGGGCCAGGGUCGAGACGCCUACGGGAGGAAGUAGGGGGGAAUAUUGCGCAAUGGGCGUAAGCCUGAUGGAGCAAUGCCGCGUGUGUGAAGAAGGCCUUCGGGUUGUAAAGCACUGUCAGCGGGGAGGCGUUACCCGCAGAAGAAGCACCGGCUAACUACGUGCCAGCAGCCGCGGUAAUUC
rnacentral:rRNA from 1 species